AUACUUACCAGACAGAGGAGAUAGAUACCAUGUUCACGAAGGUGGCUUUCCCAGGUCGAGGCUCAUCCAUUGCACUUGGGGUGUGCUGACCUGCAAUUUCCCCAAAUGCGGGAAACUCAGCUGCAUAACUUGUGGUAGUGGGGGGAGCUGCGUUCGCGCUCUCCCAUG